UACGUAGGUGGCGAGCGUUGUCCGGAUUUACUGGGCGUAAAGAGCGCGCAGGCGGUCGUUCAAGUCGCGUGUGAAAGCCCCCGGCUCAACUGGGGAGGGUCGUGGCGAUACGGGCGGACUGGAGGCCAGUAGGGGGAUGCGGAAUUCCGGGUGUAGUGGUGGAAUGCGUAGAGAUCAGGAAGAACACCCGUGGCGAAGGCGGCCCACUGGGCCGGUACUGACGCUGAGGCACGAAGGCGUGGGGAGCGAACGGG
rnacentral:rRNA from 1 species